GGGCAGAUGGCCGAGUGGUUAAAGGCGACAGACUGUAAAUCUGUUGUUUCGACUUCGAAGGUUCGAAUCCUUCUCUCCCCA
rnacentral:tRNA from 1 species